GGACCUCGAGAAGGGAAAGAACAGCUUCCAGGCUAAGUGCUUUCUGAAGAGUUUUCUGCACUGUGCAGGAGCUAUUGAUGCUCUUCUUUCUUCCUGGGGUUUCUAUCCGUUUGCAAGUGUUGGCACUGGCUCCAGCUUUUCAGUUCGUGAUGACUUGUGUGAAGAUCAACAGAGAAGCAAGCUUCAGAAUGAGAGAACCAGGCAAUUGAACAAAAUGUGAGUGGGGAAGUGGAAGGAAAGGGAGGUAGAGGGUGUGGUAUGGGAAGA
rnacentral:lncRNA from 12 species